CAUCACUGCCUAAGCCUGUUAGGAAAUUCAUAAACCAGAAGUUCUGUGACUCCAGGGGAAGAAAGAGAAAAGUGGAUUAAGAAGUGCUUAGGAAGUGGUCAUAGUCCCAUGAAGAAGAGGGAACCAGACAAGUCAAGGUCAAGGUCUUUCAGUGGCAGCGGUGAAAAAGCUAACUAAAACACAGGUGCUCAGGGAAGCCAGUCUUCUCAAUAAUGAAAAGAAGUGAUCCUGAGUUCCUUCUAGAAAGAGCUGAAGGUCAAGCUACAAGAAUUCUGGAGAAUUCUCCUUGAAGCAGUCAUUGCAUUUGUAGUGAAGGUCCUCUUGUAAUUUCCAGCUACCUGUCCAGUGCUUGCUGAGAAGUAGACAUUGUGUAUGUAUUAAGGAAGAGAAAAUGAGUCCAUGUGGAACUGUGUACAAGACAGGAUAUGAUAAAUGCACAAAGGAAAGAAUGUCAUGAGGGGUUGCAUUCCGCUUGAGCUAUCUUCUCAUGGAUGGGGAAAAGUUGGACAGUAGUGGUGCUGGGACUGGUGGCAGUAAGGAAAAUCCUCCAAACACUUUGGUAUAGAAGGUCCAGUGCUCCCUGCCACGAAACCAUCUGUGUCCAUGAACAUGGAGCAAGAGAAUAGCACUUGUGUGCUUGUGGGCUCGCUGGGUGAGAACUGACUCAAUACUCCUGGUUUCCAUGCUGACUCUUUCAUGUCCUUGGGCAAGACACCUAUGGGCUUCAGGUUACUUUUACAAAAUGUUCUUACCAUGACAAAAUAAUUUGUAGAUAGAAUUUCAAUAUAUACCAUUAUAGAAAAAAAAAGCAUAAAUACAGAUAUAUGAAAAGAAAACAGCAUCCUUAAUUCCAUGCAUUGGAAAGAUUGCAUGGGGUAUCCCACUAGACUUUUCCUUUAUAUAGCUAUAUUUCUAGAAUGGAAAUAGUAUAUUACACAUAUGGUUUUAUAGUAAACUUUUAUCAUUUAUAUCACAAAUAUCUUUCUAUAUCAGUAAGCAUAUAUUUACAACACCAUGCUUAAUAUUUUAUGAAUCCAUCUUCUUCUGUAGAUUAUUUCAAUAGCAUACUUUUAUAUAGAUCUUUGUGUAUAUGUUCAAUUUCAAAUUGAAAACAAUUUCUUAGAAGUAUCAUUGCAAGAUAAAAAGAUCUACAUUUAAUUCUGCAGUGUCUAAAAUAAGAUUUAAAUUUAACUAAAUUAAUCAUUAGUUUAAGGUUUUUAUGCAUUUUGAUAUAAUGUUAUUCUAUAAAAUGUUUAUCAAUUUAUACUCACAUCCAUACAAGGUAUUAUCUCUCUUUUAAAUUUUUGAAAAGCUGAUAGUUAAAAUCUUGUCAACUUACCUGUAUUUCUUCCGUUAUCUAUGCUGAUUUUUUUUCAUAUUCAUUAGUCAUGUAUCUUUUGUGUAUGUGAAUCAUCGGAGCAAGUCCUUUAUCAUUGUUAUGCCUGGAGUGUUUGCUUUUGUUGUUUUGAAGGAAGCUUUUACAUAGGAAGAAAUUGAAGCCUUUGUCAUGCAUUUUACAAUAUUAAGAUAAAUUUCCAAUGGUCUUUUAUUUUUUUGUAUUUCUCUCAGACAGGCUCCCAUAAAAGCAAUGCUUUAUUUUUUGGGAAUUGUUUUUAAAUAAAACAAGAAAUUAAAGUCUUCAUAUUUCCACCAUUUAGCAUGCAACCUUCUUAACACCAAUGUGUACAUUCCAGACCUUUCCUACGUUCUUGUUAUAAAAUUGGAUUGUAGUAUACUUUCUUUUUGUUAUGUGCUUUUUCUGUUUAGUGAUCAUAAAUGUUUCCAUUGCAAUAAAUAUUUGUGUGUA